CGCAUCUGUGCAUGCAGCAUAUCAAUAAGCGGAGGAAAAGCAUAACAUGUAUACCUACGCUUAGGAUGUUGACACACGCGCGUGCUCGACUCUAUACAUGACUCUGCGCAUAUCAAUAAGCGGAGGAAAAGGCUGCGGAACUGAACGACCGCUACCUACGCUUAGGAUGUUGACACACGCGCGUGCUCGACUCUAUACAUGACUCUGCGCAUAUCAAUAAGCGGAGGAAAAGGCUACGGAACUGAACGACCGCUACCUACGCUUAGGAUGUUGACGAGACUGUCGAUCUCAUCUAUACAUGACUCUGUGCAUAUCAAUAAGCGGAGGAAAAGAAACUAACAAGGAUUCCCCUAGUAACGGCGAGUGAAGCGGGAAGAGCUCAAAUUUGAAAUCUUAAAGGGUUUCCCUUUACGAAUUGUAGUUUAAAGAAGUGUUUUCUGUUGAGGUUUUGGUAAAAGUUCUUUGGAAUAGGACAUCAUAGAGGGUGAGAAUCCCGUAUUUGACCUUUACUUUCAACUUUGUGAUACACUUUCAAAGAGUCGGAUUGUUUGGGAAUGCAGUCCAAAAUGGGUGGUAAAUUUCAUCUAAAGCUAAAUAUUGGCGAGAGACCGAUAGCGAACAAGUACCGUGAGGGAAAGAUGAAAAGAACUUUGAAAAGAGAGUUAAACAGUACGUGAAAUUGUCAAAAGGGAAGCGUUUGACACCAGUGUUGUUUUUCUGAAAAUCAAUUAAAGAACUGUUUAUGCUAAGUUGUUUAGACUUUAUCAGCUAUCUGCUUAGUUUUGAGCUUUUCUUUAAUGCACUUUUCAGUUAACAAGUCAACAUCAAUUUCUUUUGCUGUAAAAAAGCUUGAGGAAGGUGGCUUGAGAUUCGUCUUAAGUGUUUAUAGCCUCUUGCCUAUGCAGUCGGAGAGAUUGAGGUCUGCAGCGUAGAUCCUUCGGGGCUAAAUGCAUUUGUGCUAAGUUAUAGCAUUUUAUAGACGACUUGUUGACUAUGAUUUGUCUUGUAGCUUACUCGCUUAUGUUAUUUUACCUACGCUUAGGAUGUUGACGAGACUGUCGAUCUC
rnacentral:rRNA from 1 species